rnacentral:rRNA from 1 species
CCUACGGGAGGCAGCAGUGAGGAAUAUUGGUCAAUGGACGAGAGUCUGAACCAGCCAAGUAGCGUGAAGGAUGACUGCCCUAUGUGUUGUAAACUUCUUUUAUAUGGGAAUAAAACGUUCCACGUGUGGGAUUUUGUAUGUACCAUAUGAAUAAGGAUCGGCUAACUACGUGCCAGCAGCCGCGGUAAUACGGAGGUUCCGAGCGUUAUCCGGAUUUAUUGGGUUUAAAGGGAGCGUAGGUGGAAUGUUAAGUUAGUAGUGAAAGGUUGCGGCUCAACCGUAAAAUUGCAGUUGAAACUGGCAGGCUUGAGUGCAGUAGAGGUGGGCGGAAUUCGUGGUGUAGCGGUGAAAUGCUUAGAUAUCACGAAGAACACCGGUUGCGAAGGCAGUUCACUGGACUGCAACUGACACUGAGGCUCGAAAGUGUGGGUAUCAAACAGGAUUAGAUACCCCAGUAGUC